rnacentral:rRNA from 1 species
GGCCGCGGGAAUUCCUUUAAAGGCUAACACAUGCAAGACGAACGGAGAAGCCAACCUUGAAUGGGGGAUCAGUGGCGAACGGGUGAGUAACACGUGAGCAACCUGCCCUGGACUCUGGGAUAAGCGCUGGAAACGGCGUCUAAUACUGGAUAUGAGACGUGAUCGCAUGGUCGUGUUUGGAAAGAUUUUUCGGUCUGGGAUGGGCUCGCGGCCUAUCAGCUUGUUGGUGAGGUAAUGGCUCACCAAGGCGUCGACGGGUAGCCGGCCUGAGAGGGUGACCGGCCACACUGGGACUGAGACACGGCCCAGACUCCUACGGGAGGCAGCAGUGGGGAAUAUUGCACAAUUUUUUCAAGCCUGAUGCAGCGACGCCGCGUGGGGGAUGAAGGGCUUCGGGUUGUAAACUCCUUUCAACCAUGACGAAGCAUUAUGUGACGGUAGUGGUAGAAGAAGCACCGGCUAA